GAUACAAGUUUUCAAGGAUAUUAAUCCAUCAACAACAUUAAAUAAGUGAAUCAAGGGUAAGAACCCAUCAAAGAUCUCCCAAAGUCAAGAAAUCCAAAUGGAGGAAAACUAGGGUUUUGAUCAAAGUGGAAUAUCAUCAACUAAAGCUCAUUACUACAACAUCUAAGGUAACGACGCGACAUUGAAGAAUAGCAAGUGAACGAGAUUUAGCUAAGCAACAAAGGUAGACAGGUAGGCGAGCUUGGCCCAGAUCCUCAGUAGCAGUCAGCUGGUUGAAAGCACUCCAUCGUUCGGAGGUGCUUGUGAUCAUUCUUUUGGUAUAUACAUGUAUUUUGGGCAUGACGGAGUCUUGUUUCGUCUAUGUGUAUCGCAUGUCAGUAGAGGCUCGUAGAUACGCAGUGUGGGUUAGAUGGUCUCACAAGAUGUCAUGUUUAUGUAUAUACUAUUUUGAUGGCCGAGAGGCGAAGUAUAGAAGUACUUAUGUUCCUAUAUAAAUGAUGUUUUCCAAUAAUUGUGU